CUGUGGGUCUUUUGACUUUGGUUUCUACCUAUAAAUGAUAAGAAGGGAAGCCCAUGCUGGUUCAGAGGUAAAGACUCCACCUGCCAAAGCAGGAGGCAAGACGUAGGUUUGAUCUCUGGGUUGGAAAGAUCCCCUGGAGGAAGAUCCCCUGGAGAAAGAUCCCCUGGAGGAAGAAAUGGCAAUCCACUUCGUACUUUGCCUGGAAAAUUCCACAGACAGAAGAGCCUGGCAGGCUACAGUCCAAAGAGUUGGACACAACUUAGUGACUGAACAGCAGCAAAAAUAAAUAAUGAAAACACACUGCACAUACCAUUGAAGAGGGAAAUCAUCCUGAGGUGAGUUUCUUGAGGACAAGAAUAAUGUAUUGACUAAUCUUUGGAAACCAGGUCUGAGAUGAUACUCAGCAAACAAUAAUCAUUCAAAACAUUUAUUUUGAGUAAAUGAAGGGACAAUGACUUUGUAAUAGUCCCUUCAUUUAAUCAAGGUGACUUAAGAGUCCCAGUUUCAGCCCCUGGGUCAGGAAGAUCCCCUGGAGAUCCCAUGGCAACCCACUCCAGUAUUCUUGCCUGGAGAAUCCCAGGGACAGAGGAAACUGGUGGGACACAUGCACGACUUUGUAAUCCUGCCUGGGACCUAAGCAAGUAUAGAUCUAAUACUUGGAACUUCCUUCCAGCAAAGGGAUUGCAAUGCUGCCAAUCCUCUGCUAGUGGUCUCACCGCCAACGCUUGGCAACAUGGCUUCUGAAAAUCAGCACCAGAGGACUGGGAUAAACACCCUCAGCUACUACUCCCUGGUUUCAAAGCCCACUGAGUCAAGCCACUAUGCAGUAGUCAUAUAUGGAUGUGAGAGUUGGACUGUGAAGAAGGCUGAGCGCCGAAGAAUUGACGCUUUUGAACUGUGGUGUUGGAGAAGACUCUUGAGAGUCCCUUGGACUGCAAGGAGAUCCAACCAGCCCAUUCUGAAGGAGAUCAGCCCUGGGAUUUCUUUGGAGGGAAUGAUGCUAAAGCUGAAACUCCCGUACUUUGGCCACCUCAUGUGAAGAGUUGACUCGUUGGAAAAGACUUUGAUGCUGGGAGGGAUUGGGGGCAGGAGGAGAAGGGGACGACAGAGGAUGAGGUGGCUGGAUGGCGUCACUGACUCGAUGGACAUGAAUCUGAGUGAACUCCAGGAGUUGGUGAUGGACAGGGAGGCCUGGCGUGCUGCGGUUCAUGGGGUCGCAAAGAGUUGGACACGACUGAGCGACUGAACUGAACUGAACUGAUGCUGAAAUAUUCAGUUUCAUAGUUCAUUUACACGGGAUUUUCUAUGCAUAUACUCACAUUGUUACAAAUGACUUUGCAAAGUUUGCCUCUUUCUUUCCAGUUGUUAGCCUCUAUUUCAUUUCUUUGACAAGCAGUGAGAAGGAUCCUUAUCCUUUUCAUAUCAAAUUAAAAAGAACAUUUCUAACACAACACUUCUCCACUUACAUUCACAUGACAUUUGCUUCAGAUGAUAGGAAUAAUAAGGACGUUUCCAAUCAUUUUUAGUUUUCUAAGACUAUAUCACGGAUAGGUAUUGAUUCAUCACAGAUGCUUCUUCUAUAUCACUUCAGAUAAUAUAUAGCGUAUACUAAUUUAUGUUAUAAAUAUAAACUAUAUAUAUUUAAUUUUUACACAAUAUAUAUUUUACACAUUCCCUUUAAUCUGUUAAUAUCAUAUAUAAGUAUGUGCUGAAAUAGAGUUAUCUGUAUGUUCUUGGAGAAACCCUAACAUAUACUGCUGGAUGGAUUUUUGGCUAGUACUUUAUUUAGUAUGUUAAUAUUCAUGCUCAUUAAUGAAAUUGGUCUGUAUACUUUUUGCACUGUAAAAUAUCACAGUUUGGGCAUUGUAUUAGUUUCCUAUUGCUGCUAUAACAAACAAC
rnacentral:lncRNA from 1 species